AUACUUACCUGGCAGGAGAGAUACCAUGAUCACCAAGGUGGUUUUCCCAGGGCGAGGCUUAUACAUUGCACUCCGGAUGUGCUGACCCCUGCGAUUUCCCCAAAUGUGGGAAACUCGACUGCAUAAUUUGUGGAAAAAAAAAUA
rnacentral:snRNA from 1 species